rfam:Rattus norvegicus chromosome 7, whole genome shotgun sequence.
GGGGAUUUGGCUCAGUGGUAGAGCGUUUGCCGAGCAAGCACAAGGCCCUGGGUUCGGUCCCCAGCUCCA